rnacentral:rRNA from 1 species
GACAGAGGAUGCAAGCGUUAUCCAGAAUGAUUAGGCGUAAAGCGCCUGUAGGUGGCUUUUUAAGUCCGCCGUUAAAUCCUAGGGCUCAACCCUGGACAGGCGGUGGAAACUACCAAGCUGGAGUACGGUAGGGGUAGAGGGAAUUUCCGGUGGAGCGGUGAAAUGCGUAGAGAUCGGAAAGAACACCAACGGCGAAAGCACUCUGCUGGGCCGACACUGACACUAAGAGACGAAAGCUAGGGGAACGAAUGGG